AAGCAAAAAACCCACACAGACAGACAGACAAAAAAGAAUUUUCAUGUCUAACUUAGCAGCCUUCAAAAAGGCUGCCAAGUCGUAGUGAUGACAUGCUAAGGUGUGUCUCCUGUGGGUGAGGGCAGUAGCCCUUGGAAAAGUUCACCUGGAUAGCCACAGGGCUAAGGGCAGUGCUAGACUUGAACCUAGGUAAAUGAGAGGUGGAGGCUCUCACUCUAACCAAGCUCCUCCCAUCACACCAUCACCUGAACCAUCAGGAUUUCUGACUAAUUCUCCACCCCUGGUUUCCCAAGGUUCCUAGGCCCAUCACUCCUAUUCAGAUAUCUUCUAAGGACAUCUCCAAAAGAGAAAGGAGAGAAAGAAAGAAAGGCAACAAUGGGUCGGGCAGCACCAGGCUCUUUGGUGCCAACCUCACUUCUCACAACCCUAGCCCUGGGCAGCUGCUCAGUGGCUUCAGACAAUUUCCUGACUGAUCCCUUUUAUAGUCACGGCUUACCUGAAGUACCCUACAGGACUGAACUACUGGGUAACAACCAAUUAGCUUCUUCUCUCCAGCAGUCUCUAGGCACUGGCUUAGGAGGUAUGUACAGGACAACAAUACUAACAGGGAACAUAUGACUCCCAGUUUUAUGCCAAGGAUUCUGCUGGAGUGAGAAAGGGCACCCCAAAUCUUAGUGCAGCCCUAAUGUUCAACCCACCCAGCUGGAGGAAAGCACCACUUCCCUCACAGAGGGCUUGAGCACUACAGGGCACACCCUCAUGAAGCACCAUGGAAAGGAAAGAUGUUCCACAAGAUGAUGACUGAACAAAGAGCCUGGUAUGGGUGCUUAGCAGGCAACAAGGACCCCGCUUACAUGACAUGGAGAGAAUAAUUCCUGUUUGGCAGCUAUACACAAGCAUCAUUUCCAGACUAUCGGAAACCUGCCUCCAUGCCAGCAAUAUCUAAAUCAUCUGCUGUAUCACCACCUGCUACUACUGUUUACUUCAGAAACUUCCCAGUGUUCCAGCUGCACCCUUAGGAGGGUAGAGGAAGGAUACUGAACAUCCUGUUAUUUAUUCACCCUCUCACAUGAACCUGGCACUGACCCCUGAACUCUCUGUUCUGUGGUUCCCCUCCUAUGCCUGUGCAGAUGUGACAGAUGAGCUAUGUGCAGAAUGUGGCCCAGCUGGCAGAAGCAGCUCUCCUGCUGGGGCUAUCCUGUGGCUAUCCAAGCAGUGAGGCUUGGUAAGGUGCACUCCAGGAGGAAAGGUGCUCACUUACUUCCCAUAUUCUGUGGAGACAACGCAGACUACUCCAUCCUGUGUCCUUCCCCAUCUCAAUCCCUAGAUCAGGCUUGGGCAAUAGCUGUUCCAGGAGAUGUACUCCCAAUCCUAACUAGAUCCUUCCAGAAAUACCUUCUAACAAUUAGGGAAAAUAGGUCUGAGUGGGCCUGAAUUCUUCUCUGUCACAAUCAAGGUGAUCUAUGCGACACCAUGAGCACAGCAGCCUUACUACAGGAAAGGUGAAUGGGACACUGCCAGAAACCUAGCUCUGUUGCAGAUGGUCCUCCUUUAAGAGACACAGCAUGAGUUUCCCUGGCUCCAUCUGAGGCACAGAAGCAAGAUCUAGACCCCCAACCUCUCAAAACACCCAAGCGUCAAAGAAGCCCAAACCCCUGGUCUCCAUCCACAAUCCUGCCUUCUUCAGUCAGCUUCCUUGAUCAAGAAGUCCCAGAGCCCACUCUUUCCUGCUAGUUCUCCAAGGCAAUGGGUGAGGCAGCAGGCAGCUACGCUCACCUACCAGUAGAUCAUCUAGUCUUGCCUGUGAGUCAUUUAGCCCAGGGUUCCAACAUUCUUAUUUCGGGGCCACACCUGCUUCUUGGUUUCACACUUAAGGAGGCCAAAGAACACCUUGCAAAAGAUAAACAAAACUUCCACAUCUUCCAACAGAAACUUCUGACAGUGCAAACUAAGACGCUCCCAUAUGAUCUUAAGAAUCUGAGCAUCACAGCCUCAUGGGGAAGGUGUGCCUGUCAUCACCUGCACUAGUAAGUACCCACAGUGCCAUCCCUCUGCCCCAACAGCCUGGAAGGCAAAGGUGCUUCACUGAGCCAAUAACCUACAAGAACACAUUAGAAGUAUCAACAUUCUGACCAUGUGCUCAGCCACCUUCCAGAAUGCUACUACUGCUAGCACAAUCUAUAUCCAAAUAGAGAAAACAAACACCUGAGAGAUGGAGAAACUAAAGAACCAAGCAAUCAAGUAAUCAUUCUAGGUAGCAAAGCUGCAAGAAUGCAAAUGCAGGCAAUGUGACUCCCCAGUCACCACCUCAGCCACCGAGCCAUACAGUUUCACAUGCCAAUCACACAGCCCUCAAGACCUUCCAGGUUAGCAAUAAAAUCUUCAUGUCUCAGCA
rnacentral:sRNA from 1 species